rnacentral:rRNA from 1 species
GUGCAGCCGCAGCGGUAAUACGGAGGGUGACAAAGACGUUAAAUCGGAAUUACUGGGCGUAAAGCGCACGCAGGCGGUCUGUCAAGUCGGACGUGAAAUCCCCGGGCUCAACCUGGGAACUGCAUUCGAAACUGGCAGGCUAGAGUCUUGUAGAGGGGGGUAGAAUUCCAGGUGUAGCGGUGAAAUGCGUAGAGAUCUGGAGGAGUACCGGUGGCGAAGGCGGCCCCCUGGACAAAGACUGACGCUCAGGUGCGAAAGCGUGGGGAGCAAACAGGAUUAGAUACCCUGGUAGUCCACGCCGUAAACGAUGUCGACUUGGAGGUUGUGCCCUUGAGGCGUGGCUUCCGGAGCUAACGCGUUAAGUCGACCGCCUGGGGAGUACGGCCGCAAGGUUAAAACUCAAAUGAAUUGACGGGGGCCCGCACAAGCGGUGGAGCAUGUGGUUUAAUUCGAUGCAACGCGAAGAACCUUACCUACUCUUGACAUCCAGAGAACUUAGCAGAGAUGCUUUGGUGCCUUCGGGAACUCUGAGACAGGUGC